UACGGAGGGAGCUAGCGUUGUUCGGAAUUACUGGGCGUAAAGCGCACGUAGGCGGCUUUGUAAGUUAGAGGUGAAAGCCUGGAGCUCAACUCCAGAAUUGCCUUUAAGACUGCAUCGCUUGAAUCAUGGAGAGGCGGGUGGAAUUCCGAGUGUAGAGGUGAAAUUCGUAGAUAUUCGGAAGAACACCAGUGGCGAAGGCGGCCCGCUGGACAUGUAUUGACGCUGAGGUGCGAAAGCGUGGGGAGCGAACAGG
rnacentral:rRNA from 1 species